CAAGUAAAACGAUUAGAGCAUAUGUUAGGGGAGAAGUAGAAGAAACAUUUAUGCUUCCUUCCAUACACUUUUUCACGAAAACUUUAAUUUUUGUUGUUGAACCUCAUUUGUUGCGAGAAUUUAGAAGCUCAAUAUAAUACUUCAGUCCGUCUGUAGGAAGCUCUCCCUCAUAAUUAUUUAUUUGGUCGGAAAUCUUAGUGAAAUAUACAGUAGGAAAUUGGUUUUGACUUAACAAAUUUUGAAUCUCGAGUGAAUAGAGAAACACCAGUGUUUGGUGAAUGUACGAUAGGGAUUGAGAAUCAAGUUCAACAUCUUCCAUAGCGUCAAACACUUUGAAAACAUCCAGAAGGGUAUUGGGAGAUACAAAGUUUUUUAAACCUUCCUCAUUACUAUCUUUUACAAGAGAACACUGUUUUUGAUAAUAAUUUAGGAUAGCAGUUUUUAUAUUUAACAGUGGGCAUUCUUCCAAAGUAUCAAGUAUGUAGGAAAGACGGACACUUGGUAACUGAGAAUCCAGACAUUUUGUGACUAUAGCAUUGCAUGUAACACGCAGCCAAGGAAGUUCUGUCGAAGAAGCCAUAAAAUGAUAUCCAUGGAGCAAACUGGAGAGAUGCUCGAGUUCGGAGUCGGGAACCUGGAAAUGAGGUAAAUCCAACAAAUA